AGGUCUAGUGCUCUUUACACCUAGUAGCAUCCCAUGUGGUGUUGAGGGAGGGGGAGACCUUCCACUGAUUGAUCUAACAAUUGGUCCAUCUAAUGUAGCACUGUUUAUGCUGACAGAUGUUCUCCAGGAUUCUAGAUGGAUCUUCUCCCAGCCCUACCUGAAGAUACCAGAAGUUGAACCGGUGACCUUCUGCAUGCAAGGCAUGUGCUCUGCCACUGAACUAUGAACCAUUGAGCUCCAUCCCCUGCUGCCAAAGCAGCAACUAAGGGAAAGUGGGCACAGGAAGCUCAAUGCAGGUGAGAAAAGGGUCAGAUCCCACCAUACUCCCAACAACAUCAUUAGGGUGGCAGAGUCCAAAGAGAGUUUAGAAUAAACCAAGCUCUUUUCUGAGUUCUUGAGACCGAGUUCAUUUUUUCCAAGCCUGCCAUGGAACAUGCACCCCAUCACUGAUUAACACAUUUAUGGACGUUCCUUGAUUCCCUAUUGAGGCAUUACUCGUGUGAAAGAACAACACAAGUUUAAAGGGCCUCACUUUUAGCCCUGUGCCCAUUAGCAUGCAGCCCAUAACAGCUUCUUUGUGCCCAGCUGUAACUUUUGCAGUUGGGAGCCUUUUCUGUCCAUGAAGGCUCCCUGGGUUGUUUCAGGAUAUUACAGGUGUUUGUGAACCAAUCCCCAAAUAACAGAGACAGAUUUGGGGCAGUGCAACUGGUUCCUCUGCACUGGACACUGAGCCUAGAGAACAACGCAGGGCAAAGCAAGAGACUGGAGGCCUUGCAAGGGCGCCACUGAAAUUUGAAAGACCAAAGUCUGCCCUGUAACUGGCUGCUAAAGGGGAAGACCAGACUUCCCUAUGGCCUGGCCUAUUUACAUAGGUGAGACUCACAGUAGAAUCCUGAGGGGACAGAGUGGACUGUACCACUUCAGACUCCAGGUGCAGGGAGUGCCAUUUUUGAAUGUGCACUCAUGUUAAAGAAAAGGAAGGAAAACUUUUUUGCAAGUAUUAUUAAUAAAACUACCCAAGCUUAUCAGAGAGAUGCAGCCCAACUUGUACCAUACUGUGCUUUUAUAUUUCCAGUAAGUGACCUGAUGGUGGAUGGAGGACUUGACCUGGCAUGUGUAACAGAGACUUGAUUGGAUAAAACAGAUGGGCCUGUCCUUGCCGCUGUUUGUCCACCAGGUUUCUCUUACGCACAGUAACCCAGGUCAUGUGGGCGGGCGGGGGGGGGGGGUUGCAGUGAUUUUUAGGCACUGUUAUACAGUGGUUCCACUCCUUCCUCCUGGGUUGUGUCUAGAAAGUGGUGUUGGGGGAUGAGUGUUCGGACGCCUGGGCUCUCACUUGUGGGGUGCCUCAGGGUUCUGUCCUCUCCCACAUGCCUUUUAACAUCUAUAUGAAGCCACUGGGAGAGAUCAUCAGGGUUUGGGCUGGGUGUUCAUCAGUUUGCGGAUGAUACCAAACUCUACCUCUCUUUUAAGUCAGAACCAGUGCGGUCGAUGAAUGUCCUGUGUGAGUGUCUGGAGGCAGUUGGAGGAUGGAUGGCAGCUAACAGAUUGAAGGUGAAUCCUGACAAGACAGAAGUACUGUUUUGGGGAAACAUGGGGCGGGCAGGUGGGGCCACUCCCUGGUCCUGAAUGGUGUAACUGUGCCGCUGAAGGACCAGGUUCACAGCUUGGGAGUCAUUUUGGACUCACAGCUGUCCAUGGAGGCGCAGGUCAAUUCUGUGUCCAGGGCAGCUGUCUCCCAGCUCCAUCUGGCACGGAGGCUGAGACCCUACCCACCUGCAGACUGUCUUGCCAGAGUGGUGCAUGCUCUAGUUAUCUCCCACUUGGACUAUUGCAAUGCACUCUAUGUGGGGCUACCUCUGAAGGUGACCCAGAUGUUGGGAUGCUGCCGGGGAGAUGGGGGCAUUAGGCAGGCCCCCAGCUGGCUCCAGCCACUGGCCGGCAGCCGGGCGAUCUCUGGUUCUCAGAACAGCAUCAAACAACGACACAAGCCUCAGAUAACUUUAGAGACUUGGCACGCUCUAUCAGCAGAGUGAAUAAAUCUUCUAACAAUGGAAGUGGUGGACAGAGACAUGUGUAAGCAUUAUUUACAGGCGUUUAUUCAGCAUAGUUCAGGAACAAAGGAAAAACAUGUCUGCUUCCCUUUGUGUCCAGCAAACAGGAAGAAAACAAAAGCUACAUACAAAUGGAAGUUCCCAGCAGACUGUGCUGGAUGUAAAAAGGCAUGUGACACACAACAGUCAUGCCUGUUCCCUUUUAAGGUGGAACGGAACUAUAUCCUAACACCGGAAACUGCAACCAAUCCAGAAUGCGGCAGUUAGAUGGUGACUGGGAAUGGCCACCAAGACCAUAUUACACCGGUCCAGAAAGACCUACAUUGGUUCCCAGUAUGUUUCCAAGCACAAUUCAAAGUGUUGGUGCUGACUUUUAAAGCCGUAAACGGCCUCAGUCCUGUAUACCUGAAGGAUCAUCUCCAUCCCCAUCGUUCACUGACGUCCAGCUCUGAGGGCCUUCUGGCAUCUGAAGGCAGCCCUGUUUAGGGAAGUUUUUAAUGUUCGAUGUUUUAUCGCUUUAUUAUUAUUAAUAUUAAUAUUCUGUUGGGAGCUGCCCAGAGUGGCUGGGGAAACCCAGCCAGAUGGGCAGGGUAUAAAUAAUAAAAUAAUAAUAAAAUUAUUAUUAUUAGCA